GAGUGUAGCUCAAUUGGCUAGAGCGCCAGAUUGUGGCCCUGGAGGUCGCUGGUUCAAUUCCAGUCACU
rnacentral:tRNA from 1 species